UGCCCGCUGCACACGUCGAUCGAUCUGCAAUUAUCCGCAUGUUUCUGGGACGCGCUGCUGAUCUUUGGGACUGCAUUUCCCACCUUCGUUUCACAGUUCACAUGGAACUUCUUUUGUGUGAAAAAAUGUUGCAUCAGAGGAUGAAUAUAUGCGUAAAUCAUUAGGGAUUAUGAUCCGUCAAAAAUGUUGAGAGGCAAUCUAAUCUAUGACUAUAUUUUCAUGAGCUGUGAUCUGAACCGGGUCUCUCUUGUUUGGCAAUGUGCUAGACCAAGAUUCUCAGAGGUUUUCGUAUGAUUAUUUUCCUUACAAAAAUUGCAAGGACACUCUACCAUCUACACACGUCGUAAAGAAAAAUCUCAAUGACAGACCAGCAGCAUGGGCAGCUCUCCCCCAAUUUACCUAUUCAGCAACUUUCCCUGAAUUUACCUACUCUGCACUGAAGAAUUCUCUCUUUUCUUUUGACUCACAGGGAAUGAUCCUCACCGUUUGGACAGUUUGUUAUACUAGAUGACAACCCGGAGGGGAACGUUUGGUUCCUGGGUACAUAUGUACCUUAUAUGAAAAAAAAUAAUUAGUAAUUCAAUAAAAAGUCGAAAAUUUCUAAAAAUAUUUUUGAGAAAAACUUAACCUUCCAUUGUACUAGUAAGAAAAGUUUCAACAAAAUAAAAUUCCUCUUUGACUUCUUUUCAAAAAAGACAAAUUUUCAGUCAAAAUAGCGUGAACAGUGACCUAUAAUAGCAAAUAAAUUUUGUCUUCUUCGCUGUGAAGUCAAUGUAAUUUAAAUUUUUUGUGAAAAUUCAUAUACUAGUGCGCAAGUAAGUCAAGUUUAUUCUAAAAUAGUUUCUUAACUAUUUUGACUUUUUGUUUAAUCAUUAAAAAAAUCCCCAUAUAGGGUACAUAUGUACCCAGGAACCAUUGGGUAUUUCCCAUGACAACCCACAUAUUGUUGUUGUAUGUUGAAGUAUAAAUGCAUAGCCCAUCUUCCCCGCAUAAGCUUAAACUUUUGGGUAACUGCUUGGUGUGUGUAGUUCUACAUGGUAUCAAAUACCAUGUAAGAGGAUUAGAGAGGGAUCAGCAUAAUGGCAGGAUGUAUUAUUGAGUCUCGAGUGCGAGUAUGUAUAGAGUAAAAAAAUUAGCAGGCAAUAAAGCUCCUAGGGAUAAGAUGGACAUAAUUCUAUCUAAUCAUGGGCAAUCCUUAACCCGGUGUAUGCCAGCAAUGUAUGAAACAUAAAUGAGAAAUUUGUGAAGUAAAAGCAUCUCUCAUUUUCUGAAAUUACAUAAUAUAUAUACUUUGAUCCGAAGAGCAGUUUUUCUUCUCCAAUGUCAAUGCUAAACGAGGGAAGCACGUGAAGAAUAGGUAAUUUAUAAGAGUAGUAAGCCAGUGACGCAUAUAGGUCAUUGGAACAUGGCGAGUUGACGACUAUUGAUACGUAAAAACCACACACAACGAUCACCCAGAGGACUAAUAAAGAAAAAUGCAUGCUGGAAUAUAGACCACAAAAAUAUUGAACAAUCAAAUGUUUUUGCUCAUGAUUUAUGAGUGAACUGAACUUAACAGACUGAUAGACCAAUAGAUGGAUCCGUUAAAAGUUAAUGGAAAUGCAUCUAGGGUGUUAACAUUCUAGAAGGCGUAUUAUGCGGACUCGAUGAACAAUUAUUCUAACCACAAUUAUUCUAACCUAUCCUUUCAGCUGCAAGCCCAGUAUGUAUGUUGCUGGAGGAGAAGCCGAGGGCGCGCGAGCGCGAGGCCGACACGCUUCGGGAGGAGCUGGGCAGGAAGACGAAGGCGCUGGAGCAUGACGGGGCUGCGGAAGGCGAAGGCCAAGCUCGCCGAGACCAAGGCGGACGCGGAAAGGGCGGAGUGGCGGGGGUACGAGCGCGGCAUGGAGGCCAUGAAGCGCGCCGCUACCCAAAACUCGACCCGGCGAGGCUUGUCGUGCCACUCCACGCCCCCCCUUAGUUGCGGUGACCGCCUGACCGCCAUGCCGGCCGAAACGCACGUUGAUCGAUCUGCGUGCUCUUGGGGUGUGCCUAUGGCUGUCGUCAUCCGCAAUUCUCACUUUGGUUUCACAUAUCAGAGAAUCUUCAUCUACUACCCCUACAAAAAAAAAA
rnacentral:lncRNA from 1 species